CCAGGAGCGUCGCUUGAUGGA
rnacentral:siRNA from 1 species